rnacentral:rRNA from 1 species
AACGAACGCUGGCGGCAGGCCUAACACAUGCAAGUCGAACGCACCGCAAGGUGAGUGGCGCACGGGUGAGUAACACGUGGGAAUGUACCCUUUGGUUCGGAAUAACGUCUGGAAACGGACGCGAAUACCGGAUGAGCCCUGCGGGGGUAAGAUUUAUCGCCAAAGGAGCAUGCCGCGUCUGAUUAGCGAGUUGGUGGGGUAAAGGCCUACCAAGGCGACGAUCAGUAGCUAGUCUGAGAGGAUGAUCAGCCACACUGGGACUGAGACACGGCCCAGACUCCUACGGGAGGCAGCAGUGGGGAAUAUUGGACAAUGGGCGGAAGCCUGAUCCAGCCAUGCCGCGUGAGUGAUGAAGGCCUUCGGGUUGUAAAGCUCUUUCGCACACGACGAUGAUGACGGUAGUGUGAGAAGAAGCCCCGGCUAACUUCGUGCCAGCCGCCGCCGUAAAAC